ensembl:snRNA U6 U6 spliceosomal RNA
AUGGUCUAGUGCCUGCCAUACAUACAAAAAUUAGAAUGACACAGAGAUAUUUAGCAUGGUCCCUAUGCAAUGAUAAUGAACAAAUUCAUAAACUCGUCUAUACUAUAUUUUU